UAGGGAAUCUUCCGCAAUGGACGAAAGUCUGACGGAGCAACGCCGCGUGAACGAUGAAGGCCUUCGGGUCGUAAAGUUCUGUUGUUAGGGAAGAACAAGUACCAGAGUAACUGCUGGUACCUUGACGGUACCUAACCAGAAAGCCACGGCUAACUACGU
rnacentral:rRNA from 1 species